rnacentral:rRNA from 1 species
UACGUAGGGGGCAAGCGUUAUCCGGAAUUAUUGGGCGUAAAGAGCUCGUAGGCGGUUUGUCGCGUCUGCCGUGAAAGUCCGGGGCUCAACUCCGGAUCUGCGGUGGGUACGGGCAGACUAGAGUGAUGUAGGGGAGACUGGAAUUCCUGGUGUAGCGGUGAAAUGCGCAGAUAUCAGGAGGAACACCGAUGGCGAAGGCAGGUCUCUGGGCCACUACUGACGCUGAGAAGCGAAAGCAUGGGGAGCGAACAGG